GACAGAGGGUGCAAACGUUGUUCGGAAUUACUGGGCGUAAAGCGCGUGUAGGCGGCUAUGCAAGUCGGAUGUGAAAGCCCUCGGCUCAACCGGGGAAGUGCACCCGAAACUGCAAAGCUAGAGUCUCGGAGAGGAUCGUGGAAUUCCAGGUGUAGCGGUGAAAUGCGUAGAUAUCUGGAGGAACACCGGUGGCGAAGGCGGCAUCCUGGACCAACACUGACACUGAGGAGCGAAAGCCAGGGGAGCAAACGGG
rnacentral:rRNA from 1 species